rnacentral:lncRNA from 1 species
AAUAUGUCCAAUUCUUAUGCAAUAGUGGCAAGUGAUCUUAGAAUUCUUAAUAGAGUUUGAAUUGGUCUUCUUAGCCACCUUUGCUCGAGGCUUGGACCUUAUAUGAUCACCUUCACACAUGCAUGAACAAGGUUUACCAAUAUUUGUAUUCUUAUACAUGAAUGCAUGCUUUAUUCCUCUUGGCUUAGCCUUGGGAACAUGUGUAACUUUCC